rnacentral:tRNA from 1 species
AGCCCCGUAGGGUAGCUGGUCAAUCCUGCAGGACUUUGGAUCCUGCGACCCCGGUUCGAAUCCGGGCGGGGCUA